AAUAGAUACCCAGGUAGUCCACGCCGUAAGCGAUGGAUACUAGCUGUUUGAGCGCAAGUUUGAGUGGCUAAGCGAAAGUGAUAAGUAUCCCACCUGGGGAGUACGGGCGCAAGCCUGAAACUCAAAGGAAUUGACGGGGGCCCGCACAAGCGGUGGAGCAUGUGGUUUAAUUCGAUGAUACGCGAGGAACCUUACCAGGGCUUAAAUGUAGAUUGACGUAUUUGGAAACAGAUAUUUCUUCGGACAAUUUACAAGGUGCUGCAUGGUUGUCGUCAGCUCGUGCCGUGAGGUGUCAGGUUAAGUCCUAUAACGAGCGCAACCCCUGUUGUUAGUUGCCAGCGAGUAAUGUCGGGAACUCUAGCAAGACUGCCAGUGUAAACUGUGAGGAAGGUGGGGAUGACGUCAAAUCAUCACGGCCCUUACGUCCUGGGCCACACACGUGCUACAAUGGCCGGUACAGAGAGCAGCCACUUAGCGAUAAGGAGCGAAUCUAUAAAGCCGGUCACAGUUCGGA
rnacentral:rRNA from 1 species